CCUACGGGUGGCAGCAGUGAGGAAUAUUGGUCAAUGGCCGGAAGGCUGAACCAGCCAUGCCGCGUGAAGGUCAGUGCCCUAUGGGCUUUAAACUUCUUUUGUGCGGGAGCAAUAAUGGUCACGUGUGGCCAGACGAGAGUACCGUACGAAUAAGCAUCGGCUAACUCAGUGCCAGCAGCCGCGGUAAUACGGGGGAUGCAAGCGUUAUCAGGAUUUAUUGGGUUUAAAGGGUGCGUAGGCUGUGAGGUAAGUCAGCGGUGAAAUGCCCCCGGUCAACGGGGUGAAGUGCGAUUGAUACUGCAUUGCUGGAAUGCUGAUGCGGCGGGAGGAAUGUGUGGUGUAGCGGUGAAAUGCAUAGAUAUCACACAGAACACCGAUUGCGAAGGCAUCUCACGAAUCCGCGAUUGACGCUGAUGCACGAAAGCGUGGGUAUCAAACAGGAUUAGAUACCCGGGUAGUC
rnacentral:rRNA from 1 species